rnacentral:snRNA from 1 species
GUGCUCGCUUCAGCAGCACAUAUACUAAAAUUGGAACGAUACAGAGAAGAUUAGCAUGGCCCCUGCUCAAGGAUGACACGCAAAUUCGUGAAGUGUUCCAUAUUUUU